CGCCCACAGGAUUCCAUUUAUACACAGCAAAAAGCAAACAAAGCACAGAAACUGGAUGACAGGGAGAGAGAGAGAGAGAGAGAUACUAUAUUUAAUGUUUUUAUUUCUAGGAUCAGGAUGUCUCAGCAGAGGUUUCUUUUAUUAUAAAGUAUAAAAUAUAGAGGUGUGAAGAAUUUGUAAUGUGCAGCUCACUGCCUGGUGACGGGGUAGACGGUAAACGCGUGGAACAGGGUGACGGGGUAGACGGUAAACGCGUGGAACAGGGUGACGGGGUAGACGGUAAACGCGUGGAACAGGGUGACGGUGGUUUAGAGGUUAACACGUUUGCCUCACACCUCUGCAGCUGCAGGUUCGAUUCCCAUCUGUGUGAGUGAAGGUAACAUGUUCCUCCAAUGCUUUGUUUCCAAAAGAUUCCAGAGACAUACGCUGUAGGCUGAAUGGAAUCUGUAAGGUGUAAGCACUGUGAGUGCAGUCCACUUUAAAGAAGUGAGAAAAUCCUGUCUGGAAAACUGACUUCAGGUCCAGAAUGCUGGCUUGUACUUGGGAAAAGUCGUCUGUCAGUCAUGUAUUACUCCAUGUUAGGGCUGUUAGUGGUGCGUGUCCAAAUUCUUUUGCUUAUGUUCCCCUAGAGUUUUGACCAGAAAUAUAAUAUAUAUAAUCUAAUAUAUGGUUUAAACAUACAAGAAACCCUAUGAAUGUGAUUAAAUCUGUCAAGUGCUUAGAUGGUCAUUCAUUCUGGAUAACUUUGUACUGAUUUGCAGGGAUGCUUUAUUAAGAAGGGAGGAAAGGAAAAAGGGAGGAAGGAAAAGAAAGGGAAAAGGGAAGGAAAGAAAAAGAGGGAGGGACAAAAGAAAGGGGGAGGAAGGGAAGGAUAGGAAAGAGGGAUAAAGGAAAGGGGGAGGAAGGGAAGGAUAGGAAAGAAGGAGAGAGGAAGGAAAGGAAAGGACAAAAAAGAAAGUGUCAGGAAAAAAGGAAAGGAAAGGGGGAGGAAAGAAAAGAUGGAGGAAGGGAAGGAAAGUAUUAUUAUUAUUAUUAUUAUUGUCAGGAAGCUCAGGGUCAGUAAUGAAACAGCACCCAGGAACAGAAAGGGUUAAGGGCCUUGAUCAACAGCAUCAGUUUAUCAGUGCCGGGACUUGAACCCCUGACCAUCUGAUUAUUUCUCCAUCACAUUACUCAGGGAAGUAACACAACUGAGAUUGAAAGCAGAUCAACAGCGUGAUCAGAGCAACAUCUAGUAACGUUUCUCUCCAACUCAUCAGUGUUACACUGAAAUAAACUGAUUAAUGAACCUCAUGGGGAAUGUUUUAGUGUCACUAACUUGACUGGAUAAGCGACAUUCCCGACUCUAAUUCUAGGAAAAGUCUGUUAAUCAAUCAGGGACGUGAUGGAACAUUUGCUGUAUAGUUUGCUGCUUCUGUGUGCUGAUAGCAAAAAAACUCCUUGCUCUGAGUUUUAUGUUUGAGACGUUUUAUUAUUUUGUCUGAUUUGCAGUCUGUUUCGCUUUGAUCGGCGUCAUUAAUUGUAAAACACAUCCAGAUUGCUGUCAUUUCGUCGUCUGUUCCUUCAGACAGCAACAUGCGCUAGCUUUACGGCACAUACUACCACCUGGUACCGGAUAUCAGAGAGAACCGAGAGCCGGCACACACCGGGACCGGUAUCUAUGCAUCCCAAGGAAUAUUUAAAGAAAGGAUACGUGAAACGAGAACGAACAACAAACAUCAACUCCAACUGCAGGGCUUUGUGAAAAUCUGCGUUCCGGUCCUGGAUAUUUCCCCCAGCGGAAACACGUUCCUUUAGAGAGUUCUCCAGAAAUAGUGUGAAAACAGCCAGAGGGUGUAAAUGGUGUUUCACAGCUCUAUUGUUCGCUCGCUUUCUGUCUGUAGCGAAGGUUUAGCACAGCUUCCUUUGAUACCUUGCUAUCAAUGGCUAGUGUGAGACACGUCAGGUUUCAAUGGAAUGGGUUUCUUUUUUUUUCCCUGGGAAUAAUAAGCUGCAAUUAUAUAAAUCCAGGUUCCAUCUGCUCAUUUCUCCAGGCAAAUGUGUUCAUCAAAGCUUGGCUCUGUGCCAUGAGCUAAAAAAGAUGGAUGGAUAGGUAGAGAGAGAGAGACAAACAGACAGAGAGAUAUUCAUUCCUUCUGUCCAGUCACGGUUUUUGCAGAUAGUAAUAAAAGCAGAGAUGGAUGCUGUGCUAGUAGAUAGAGAGAGAGAGAAGAUAGACACACACACACACACACACACAGACAGUGUGUUCAGCUUCGGUGCUCCAGGGGAAGUAAAUAUCUACACCUAUAAAACUAGAACAAGCUGAACCAAAGGAAAAAAAGAUGCUGUUAAAUAUAUUUCUCCACAAUAUCCAGACUCUGUGAUUAGGAAGAUGAUGAAAGAACAAUUAAACAAUUACAUUUUUAAUGCAGAAAACAGAAAUGCGGAAAUUCCUUCCCUUCCUUUAUCUAUCCUUUCAUUCCUCCCUCUCUCUGCCUUUCCUUUCUUUUCCUUCCAUUUCCUCCAUCUUCUCUUUCUUUGCCUUUUCUUUCCUUCUCUUCCCUUCCGCCCUCUUUCCUAUUCUUCCCUUCCUUCUUCUUUUCUUUCCUUCCUUUCCAUUUCAUCGCUCUCUUUUCCUCCAUUCCUUUCUUCCCUUUUCUUUUUCUUUCCUUCUCUUCUCUUCCCUCCCCGUUCCUUUCCUUCUCUUCCCUUCUUUCCUUUCUUUUUCUUCCCUUUCCUUCCUCAUUCCCUUCUCUUUCCUUUCCUUCACUGCUUAUUACUCUCUUCCCUUCUCUUGCUUUCAUUUCUCUUUCUAAUAUUUUCUUAAAUAAAAAAUAACUGCUGAUUGUUUCACCCUUUUAAGCGGAGCUUGAAUGCUCAUAAUGAAGAAGCAGCAGUUUGGCAUCCUGUGGGUCUGAGAUGGUGUGUGUGUGUGUGUGUGUGUGUGUGCAUGUGUGUGUGUACACUCAUGUGUUAACCCACAGUUAGACCUAGCUGACAGGAAUUACACACGGUCUGAAUUAGGAUGAAAACCGCACUGAUUUGAGAGGAAGUGAUGUCGUCUGAUGUCAUACAGUAUAUUUAUGUGACUGAUGUCAGUGGAUGUGAAGGUGUAGUGACACUGAGCCCAAGAAAGAGAAGAAGGCUGUGAACACGUGAGGAAGAAAUAGAGGAGGAAGAAUAAAUCUGAUAAAAUGUAGUGUGUGUGCAUAUGAGCGUUAAAUUAGGUAUAUGUUAAAAAUGUUGAUUUUUGUGCAUUUAAUGGUAUUUAUGGUAGAACUGAUCGUCAUGAGUGCUUUUUCCAAGUGUAUGCUGAGGACCACCAUGAGUAUUGUACAUUCAGAAGCCUUGAUUUGUUUUCCAGCUGUAUUUUUGCGUCUCCUGGUGAUAAACUCAUUGCUAGAAUAAUAAGCGUAGUGGGAAAGUUGAAACAAAGACAAGCUGAGAAUUUCAAUUUGCACUAAAAGUCUCUCUCGGUUAAAAACAGAGACAGUAAUUCAAGGUGUCAGUAAGGGAAGCAGACCACAGCGCUGUUACCUCUUCUGGUCUGCCGAGCGCUGGAGUUCCUGUCAGCAGGAUUGCACGUUUGGCGUUUUGGAUCACCGGGACCAGGAUCUUUGUCCUCGCUGCGUUCCGGGACUUCAGGUUGAUGUCGUCAGGACGGAGUUCGGGAAGCCAGCGCUCCAGCUCCUCGAUCCACGGGUACUUCAGCGACGACGGCACCACGAUCAGCAGGGGCCACUCGUGUCUGUAGAGUCUUUGCCCAGUGUUCCCGGGGUGAUCCCCAGAUUUGCCGCCGCCAUCAUCGGGAUGGAGGAAUUUUUGAAAAUGAAUGGGUCCACGGAAGCAUCCUCUUCAGGCUGGUGAUGGAGGUGUGAUUUCCUGUGAUUUUCUUGGCAUACCCCACUAAAGAAUGUCUCAACACUGACUAUAUCCACCAGGUCACAAGGCAUGCCUCAUCAAAGCCUGACUUUUCUUUGUCGGGGUUCUUGCGUGAACUCUGGCUCUUAAGCCUAUCAAGCAAUCUUUGAGAUGACGCAGAAAUGCCGUCCGCAGCAAAAAUGAGACGCUGGUCAAUUUCACGCAACUGUGCAACCCAAUCAGUCUUGCAUGGUUCAAUAUUUCUAUAUGAAGCACAUCCAGCAUUUUGUUAGUCAUACCCAGGAAAAUUUAUGUUGCUCUUCAAAACCAAUGAAGGUACUUGUGAUCACUGCAUAAUCUCCAUGAGCUCAAAGUAAGAAAGAAUGUACAGUGUAGAUUUUCUUAAACUCGCUAUACCCUGUUAUGUAUGAGCUUAAACUGGUGGUUUGAACAUGUCUGAACAUCUGUACAUCAUAUCAUAUUUGGCUUUGUCCUUUUUCAGGCAGCGCUCCGAGACCAAGAAAUGUACGAAUAGCAAAAGUGCUCCCUGUCAGUCUGGUUAAGGCUGGAGAUAUAGGAGUGAAUGAGUCAGCCUCAGAGAUAUUUCAUUUUCCCUAUUCAAAUUAAAUGUGUUUUUUCACUCCACACUGAAAGAACCCAUAAAGAAAAAGAUGUGCAUUUCAUGUUCACUGGGACUGAGAUUUUCUGCUGAAUCUUUGAGGAGAAAAAUUUUAAUUGCUCCAAGCUUAGUCAGGCUAAGCUGAGGAUUUACACCAAAUAAAUGAUGCUUUUCUGGGAGUGAUUGUGAAGCAACAAUCUUUUGUUUAUGUUACAGUUACAACUGUUUGCAUCAUUAUUAUUUCAGUUAAAGCUGAUUCAGUGUUGCUUGUGGUCAUGGCGGACUCUUUAGAAGGAGUAGAUUCGCUGCAGUUUAAACGUGACUCACAAUUC